ACGGAAGGCAGCAGUGGGGAAUAUUGCACAAUGGGGGAAACCCUGAUGCAGCAACGUCGCGUGAAGGAUGAAGGCCCUUGGGUCGUAAACUUCUGUCCUUGGGGAAGAUAAUGACGGUACCCUUGGAGGAAGCCCCGGCUAACUACGUGCCAGCAGCCGCGGUAAUACGUAGGGGGCAAGCGUUAUCCGGAAUUAUUGGGCGUAAAGAGUACGUAGGCGGUUUCCUAAGCGCAGGGUCUAAGGCUACGGCUGAACCGUAGUUCGCCCUGCGAACUGGGUGACUUGAGUGCAGGAGGGGAAAGCGGAAUUCCUAGGGUAGCGGUGAAAUGCGUAGAUAUUAGGAGGAACACCAGUGGCGAAGGCGGCUUGCUGGACUGUAACUGAAGCUGAGGUACGAAAGUGUGGGGAGCAAACAGGAUUAGAUACCCUGGU
rnacentral:rRNA from 1 species